GAUGAACGCUGGCGGCGUGCUUAACACAUGCAAGUCGAACGGUGAAGCAGGAGCUUGCUCCUGUGGAUCAGUGGCGAACGGGUGAGUAACACGUGAGCAAUCUGCCCUGAACUCUGGGAUAAGCGUUGGAAACGACGUCUCAUACCGGAGACGAGGCGUGGGGGCAUCCCCAACGCCUGGAAAGAACUUCGGUCCAGGAUGAGCUCGCGGCCUAUCAGGUAGUUGGUGAGGUAACGGCUCACCAAGCCUACGACGGGUAGCCGGCCUGAGAGGGUGACCGGCCACACUGGGACUGAGACACGGCCCAGACUCCUACGGGAGGCAGCAGUGGGGAAUAUUGCACAAUGGGCGCAAGCCUGAUGCAGCAACGCCGCGUGAGGGACGACGGCCUUCGGGUUGUAAACCUCUUUUAGCAGGGAAGAAGCGAAAGUGACGGUACCUGCAGAAAAAGCACCGGCUAACUACGUGCCAGCAGCCGCCGUAAAAC
rnacentral:rRNA from 1 species